rnacentral:rRNA from 1 species
UGUAAGAAUAAAUGGUCGAACAGACCAAAUUUUUAAACGGCUACACCUAAAAAUUAUCUUAAUCCAACAUCGAGGUCGCAAUCUCUUUUAUCGAUUAGUUCUCUCUAAAAAUAUUACGCUGUUAUCCCUUAAGUAACUUAAUCUUUUAAUCACAAAUUAUGGAUCAAAUCAUUUAUUAAUGAAAAAAAGUUAUUUAAAUUUUUUUAUCACCCCAAUAAAAUACACAAUAUAAAGCUUUAAAGGGUCUUCUCGUCCUUCAUAUAUAUUUUAGCUUUUUAACUAAAAAAUUAACUUCUAAAACAUUUAAAUAAAGACAGUUAAUAUUUCAUUCAAUCAUUCAUUCCAGCUUCUAAUUAGGAAACUAUUGAUUAUGCUACCUUUGCACAGUCAAAAUACUGCGGCCUUUUUCAAUGGGCAGAUUAGACUUUAUAUU